rnacentral:rRNA from 1 species
CCUACGGGAGGCUGCAGUGGGGAAUAUUGCACAAUGGGCGAAAGCCUGAUGCAGCAACGCCGCGUGAGCGAUGAAGGUCUUCGGGUCGUAAAGCUCUGUCCUAAGGGAAGAAUACUGACGGUACCUUAGGAGGAAGCCCCGGCUAACUACGUGCCAGCAGCCGCGGUAUUACGUAGGGGGCUAGCGUUAUCCGGAACUACUGGGCGUAAAGGGUGCGUCGGCGGCCCUUCAAGUCAGAGGUGAAAGGCGACGGCUCAACCUUAGUAAGUCUUUGAAACUGUAGGGCUUGAGUGCCGGAGAGGCGAGUGGAAUUCCAAGUGUAGCGGUGAAAUGCGUAGAUAUUGGGAGGAACACCAGUUGCGAAGGCGGCUCUCUGGACUGUAACUGACGCUGAGGCACGAAAGUGUGGGGAGCGAACAGGAUUAGAUACCCGUGUAGUC